GAUGAACGCUGGCGGCGUGCCUAACACAUGCAAGUCGAGCGAUUCUCUUCGGAGAAGAGCGGCGGACGGGUGAGUAACGCGUGGGUAACCUGCCCUGUACACACGGAUAACAUACCGAAAGGUAUGCUAAUACGAGAUAAUAUGCUUUUAUCGCAUGGUAGAAGUAUCAAAGCUUUUGCGGUACAGGAUGGACCCGCGUCUGAUUAGCUAGUUGGUAAGGUAACGGCUUACCAAGGCGACGAUCAGUAGCCGACCUGAGAGGGUGAUCGGCCACAUUGGAACUGAGACACGGUCCAAACUCCUACGGGAGGCAGCAGUGGGGAAUAUUGCACAAUGGGCGAAAGCCUGAUGCAGCAACGCCGCGUGAGCGAUGAAGGCCUUCGGGUCGUAAAGCUCUGUCCUCAAGGAAGAUAAUGACGGUACUU
rnacentral:rRNA from 1 species